ensembl:lncRNA
AAUGCAAAUACUCCUCUUAAGGUCCUCUGAGAGGGAGGAACAAACCUACAGGAAACAGUAAGGCUCUAGAGACAUACAAACACAUAGAGAAGAUGCUGAGUGAUCUGGAGAGACGCCGUGGUGGGUGCAUUCCCCUCCCCCUUCCCCUGGGACUCAGCAGCUGGGGGCUUUCCCUGCACAUCUGGACAGACCCUGCCUAGCACAGCAGGAAGGGAUCCAUGGCAGCCUCGCUGCCCCGCUGCUGCUCUCACGGCCUGCAGGGCUGUUUCCCAGCCUGGCCUGGCUGCAGCUUCUCCCCAGCCUCUGCAGGAAGGCAUUUGGCACCAGCUGACAGGGAGCCCCAACUGCACCAUGGCUCAUGCACACCCUGAGAUCCCCUGCAAUUUCCCAGUCACUGAGCACAUCUGGAGGGGCAGAUGUUUGAAGGAGGGUGGGCCCUGCAGCAGCCCCAGUAACCUGGUCUUUAUCCUGAAUCUCAUCCAUGACUGAGACAAGCUUUGCCUCCUGAAGAUGCCACCUUCCUGCUGGGGAACAGCCCAAAUGAUCCAGCUGUCCCUUUUCCUUUCCCCAGAGAUGGAAGGAGAGGCUGUGCUGAAGGCUGAGUUUCCCAGAGGAAGCAGUGGCUCAUUGGCAGCCUCUGCUGCAGGAAGGGAGGCGCUGCCAGGCACAGUCACAGGAGAUUGGGACCGUGACUUGAAGCGUUUGGAAAGAGUGAUAAACCACGGUUUAAGGAUCUUGAAGUCUGGUGAAGCUGAACGUGAGGAUGAAGAGGAUCUGGAUUCCCAACCCAUACCCAUUACUGAGCCUCUGGGAGAUGGUGAGGGUGUGGCUGCAGAGAAGACUUUCUCAGGUCCUUUGGUGGAUGUUGCUCGCAAGCCCAGCUUCCAUCGCAGGGGUCCCCUGAGAGGAAAGAACAAACAUAUAGGAAGGAGUAAAUCCAGGGAGGAAUCAAAACAUCUUGAAGAAAUCCUGAGUGAUCUGGAGAGACAGCAUGGUGGGUGCAUUUCCCUCCCCCUUCCCCUGGGACUCAGCAGCCGGGGGCUGUCCCUGCAGAUCUGGACAGGCCGUGCCUGGCACAGCAGGAAGGGAUCCAUGGCAGCCUCGCUGCCCCGCUGCUGCUCUCACGGCCUGCAGGGCUGUUUC